GGGUGCAAUGGCUUGCUUUUUUUUCCCUAGAAAAGUGUUAGGGGAACAGAGCUCCACGAAUGGAACAUAUGGAGGUGGGAUUUUACUGUGUUAAGCUUGCGCUCCACUUUUUUCUUCUGUCUCUAAUUAUUAUUGGGUUGGGUUAUUAUUAUUACAUUUAAUGGGGAAUCUUAGAGUAGAAAAAAAUCAAGAAUCUACUGUCUUCACAGAACUUAUUUUUAUAUUGUAAACCCUUGAGCCUUUUGACUUCAACACCAGUUCACACAAAACCAAAUUAAUCUAUUAAACCAACAAAUGCAAAACCCUCCAAAAUAACAAGUGGUUAUUUCAGACCACAGGUAGAAUAAAUAAAAUCUUAAAUGUUUGAAACGUUUGUUUGUUUGUUUGUUUGUUUUUGAUAAAAAUCAUUACCCUUGAGGAUGCCUCUACCAAAAAUUAAGAAUGUCAUAAAUUUUGGUAACUAACAAUGUAGCUUUCUCUCCAGUUAAAAUUUUCAUCUUUAGAUGAUCUAAGAAUGAAAAAAAGCACAGAGUCUGUAGUUUUUUUUUGAAAUGUCACCACAUUUGUUGUUGUUGUUGUUAAUGGCAGUGAAGUGCUAUUUCAUAAGCUUGACAUUGUAAGUGUUCUUCUAAAUUAAACUCUGGGAUUUGUUAUUUCAGACUUCCUGUUCAGCAAGCCCCAAGCCUCGUGACAGGACUUCUGCUCUGUUUACCAAUAGUGUGAGUCAGGGCUUGUGGUUGUGGCACAGUCAGCCCCACAGCAGCUUUAUCUCCUCUGACUUGAGGGAAGCCACCAAUGGACUGGAAGGGGAAUCUGGAAGAUCCAUUGGUCCUGAGACUUCAACUCUGCAUGCUGUGAUUGCUUUGGCUCUGACCUCGAGGAAUGAAUGUUUUCUGACUUCUGCGUAAAGGCUAGAAGACAAAGAAGAGGAGACAGGUAGAGGCUGAGACAUAGCCUCAGGUGGGACUCUGUUUCAGGGAAGACAAUUUUUUGUGCCUUUUUAUUUUAAAAAUGUGUGUGAAGUUUGCAUGAAAUUGAUAUGCAUUCCUGUUUGUUUUAGUAUAUUGAAGUUAUUUCAUUACUUUGUGCAAAUUUUUUUUAGGAAGAACAAUUGAGUCCUUCUGGCCGCAUCAGUGCUAGUAAAUGCUGAUUACUCCUAGCAUUUGAAUUUUUCAGUUAAACACAGACAGGAGCAGUGGUAAAGACAGUAGGCUUUGGAGUACGACUGAACUAGGUUUAAUCCCAACUCCUCCAGUUUAGUAAGUGUAUCCAUAGGCACAAGCAGGCAUCUCUCAGUCUCUUUUUUUUUUUUUAAUCCAUGAAUAGCAAUAAUUGUUACCACAAUGGAUUGAAGAUUAAGUGAUAGAAUGUGCACAAAAGGAUAGAUAGUAUAUAAACAGUAUAGAACCAGCUACAGAGUAAGCACGCUUAAUAAACAUCAUCAUUGUUAGGAACA
rnacentral:lncRNA from 1 species